rnacentral:rRNA from 1 species
UAAGCAAUCUGCCCUUCUCAUCGGAAUAAGCGUUGGAAACGACGUCUAAUGCCGAAUACGACCUCCUUUCGCAUGAUCGGAGGUGGAAAGCUCCGGCGGAGAAGGAUGAGCUCGCGGCCUAUCAGCUAGUUGGUGUGGGUAAUGGCCCACCAAGGCGACGACGGGUAGCCGGCCUGAGAGGGUGACCGGCCACACUGGGACUGAGACACGGCCCAGACCUCCGUACGGGAGGCAGCG